UGCGUAGGCGGAUUAAUAAGUCAGUGGUGAAAUCUUUCGGCUCAACCGAGAAACUGCCAUUGAUACUGUUAAUCUUGAGUUCGGUUGAGGUAGGCGGAAUGUGUAAUGUAGCGGUGAAAUGCUUAGAUAUUACACAGAACACCAAUUGCGUAGGCAGCUUACUAGACCGACACUGACGCUGUGGCACGAAAGCGUGGGGAGCGAACAGGAUUAGAUACCCUGGUAGUCC
rnacentral:rRNA from 1 species